CUUGUUGGAAGAAGGCUGACCGGCGGUGCAAAACCAUCAUGGUGUACCAAGGGACGGAGCCGGACAUUACUCCCAUGAAUGCUGCAGCCCAUGGCUCCACUACCCCUGCCCCAACAUUUUCCAUCUCAUGAAUGUUAGUAAGGCGUGAUGCAGACAAGGCCAGUGAUCAUGCCUUGGACAGCACCAAUGACAGAGCUUUUCUUGUAAACGAGCAUGUCCAGAGAGAGCCAUACCAAUAGGCUGGUGGCUGUGCAGAUAUGGGUGUUGACGAUGGCCAGUGGUGCAAUCGUCCCAGCAGACAUUGGAGAUCCACCGUUGAAUCCUGUCCAUCCCAACCACAGGAACCCUGCUCCUCCCAACAUGUGUAUUAUGUUGUUUGGCGGAAAAUGCUGCCUGUCGUGUGAAUGCCCAAUGCCGAGGCCCCACCUAUCCUCCACAUACAUAUUUAUAUAUGUUGUUCAUUACCAAAAUAAAAUAAUUAUUAAUCUCAAACAUUCAUUUCAAAAAUUACCCACAAUAUUUUUACAAGUUUAUCAAUGAAAAAUGUUCUACUUGGAAUUUGUACCACGAAAAUUACUCUAAAAUUGAGAUUACAUUAUAUAGAUUUAA